rnacentral:rRNA from 1 species
UAGCAUAUGCUUGUCUCAAAGACUAAGCCAUGCAUGUCUAAGUAUAAACACUUUUAUACAGUUGAAACUGCGAACGGCUCAUUAUAUCAGUUAUAAUCUAGUUGAUGAUAAAGGUUUACUUGGAUACCUGUAGUAAUUCUAGAGCUAAUACAUGCGAAAAGGAGUGACUGGUGACGGAAGCUCUGUAUUUAUUAGAUACAAAAUCAAUGCUAGUAGAAAUACUAGGAAAAAUUGAUGAUUCAUAAUAACUAAACGAAGCGUAGAGAUUUUAAUGUCG